rnacentral:rRNA from 1 species
CCUACGGGUGGCAGCAGUGGGGAAUAUUGCACAAUGGGGGAAACCCUGAAGCAGCAACGCCGCGUGAGCGAUGAAGGCCUUCGGGUCGUAAAGCUCUGUCCUAAGGGAAGAAGCAUGACGGUACCUUAGGAGGAAGCCCUGGCUAACUACGUGCCAGCAGCCGCGGUAAUACGUAGGGGGCAAGCGUUAUCCGGAAUAACUGGGUGUAAAGGGUGCGUAGGCGGUAGGGCAAGUCAGAUGUGAAAGCCCGGAGCUCAACCCCGGGAUUGCAUUUGAAACUGUCUUACUAGAGUGCAGGAGAUGAAAGCGGAAUUACUAGUGAAGCGGUGAAAUGCGUAGAUAUUAGGAAGAACACCAGUGGGGAAGGCGGCUUUCUAGACUGUAACUGACGCUGAGGCACGAAAGCGUGGGGAGCGAACAGGAUUAGAUACCCCUGUAGUC